UACAGAGGGGGCAAGCGUUGUUCGGAAUUACUGGGCGGAAAGGGCGCGUAGGCGGCCUUCUAAGUCGAACGUGAAAUCCCCGGGCUCAACCCGGGAACUGCGUCCGAUACUGGGAGGCUUGAAUCCGGGAGAGGGAUGCGGAAUUCCAGGCGUAGCGGUGAAAUGCGUAGAUAUCUGGAGGAACACCGGUGGCGAAGGCGGCAUCCUGGACCGGCAUUGACGCUGAGGCGCGAAAGCCAGGGGAGCAAACGGG
rnacentral:rRNA from 1 species